rnacentral:rRNA from 1 species
GUUCGGAAUUACUGGGCGUAAAGGGCUCGUAGGCGGCCAACUAAGUCAGACGUGAAAUCCCUCAGCUUAACUGGGGAACUGCGUCUGAUACUGGAUGGCUUGGAUUCGGGAGAGGAAUGCGGAAUUCCAGGUGUAGCGGUGAAAUGCGUAGAUAUCUGGAGGAACACCGGUGGCGAAGGCGGCAUUCUGGACCGAUAUUGACGCUGAGGAGCGAAAGCCAGGGGAGCAAACGGG